rnacentral:lncRNA from 1 species
CUACACCUGCCCUAGCCCAUUGGGAAGUUCUGUUCCCUCCUCAUCUUUCUGCCAAGAGUAAAUACCUCUCACUGUGUUCCCAGCUUUAAGGCAACGUAUAAAGUUGAUUCAGCAUCUUACUUCUCUUUUCCUGAUGAUGGACUUUGCUAAGGAGGACAAGUUGACCUGAAGAGCCUCUACUACCUCCAGACGUGAGCACAUGCCAGGUGACUCCUCACAGCUCCACAAGCCAGUAUCGUCAUUGCCGUGCAACAGAACGAGCCUUAAGCAAAUGUCUGAAACUUAGGAAACCGCCAGGAACCAUAGAACCCAGCCCAAGAAGGUACUUCAAAUUAUCUUAGAUUUGUUUUUAACUUAAGAGAAGCAAUAGAUUCCACUGAAUCCUGAAAUCAAGUGUGGAAAAGUGCCUGUUGUACAAAAUUGAACCUCCCCCCAACCCAGGUUAACUCUACAUUCUAACAUAGAAUAAAAAGUUUUAUCUAAAGGAUAAAUUCUAGUUC